CUGUCUGUGUUUACAGGGUAACGCGGUCAUUGAGGAGGUGUCUGCAUCGACAGAAGGAGAGCUGGAAACUGAAGGAUGGUGGGUAGCAGCUGUAACACCUCGAGUGUGUGAGAAUAACAACGAGCAGCCCAGGCCGAUGCGUUUGGAUAAUGAGCCCUGUCCAGAGGAUGCUGUUCCUGGUACAACUUUGAGUGAUGACCCUGUCCACCACCCUCUGGCGCUCACAGAUAAUACUGACCUGAAGGACUGUGGGGACCCCACUAAUGUCUACGGAUCCCUGAUGGUCUGAAUGAAGGAUCAACAAUGAACUAGACUCCCACCCUGAGUGUGACGCCUCCCAGAGUCGAGCAGUUUGGAGGCCAAAGCACUUUGUAGCUGUAGCAGAGCAAUACCUCAAAUGUAGCACAGUUAUAGCACUGAGAUAUUACCCCUACCUCCUGUUCAUCUCUCCAAGUUCCUGUACCUCUGGCCUGUCACUCACUCUCUCUCCCCAUCACUACCUCACUCCCUGUGUCUCUCCCAUCACUGUGUGACUCCUUCCCCCUCACCAUCUCUCUCACUGCCUUGUUGCAUGUUUGAUCAGGGCUGCCUUCGUUUCUCUGUCUGUUGUUUGGUGAAGCUGAUGUGUGAGGGUUUGAAAUCACACAUGACCCUCCCCUCUGAGACUGGACGAUAUUUUACAGUCAGUGUGAAUUGUUACAGUUUCGUGUUGGCCCAGAUCACUGUCAUUCCCAAAAUAGAAAGAUCACAAUUAAAAUUUCAGAAAACAA